UCCAGACUCCUACGGGAGGCAGCAGUGGGGGAUAUUGCACAAUGGGGGAAACCCUGAUGCAGCGACGCCGCGUGGGCGAGGAAGUAUUUCGGUAUGUAAAGCCCUAUCGGCAGGGAAGAAGAAAUGACGGUACCUGAAUAAGAAGCACCGGCUAAAUACGUGCCAGCAGCCGCGGUAAUACGUAUGGUGCAAGCGUUAUCCGGAUUUACUGGGCGUAAAGGGAGCGCAGGCGGCGCGCCAAGUCUGAUGUGAAAGCCCGGGGCCCAACCCCGGGACUGCCCUUGGAACUGUGCGGCUAGAGUGCGGGAGGGGCAGGCGGAAUUCCUGGUGUAGCGGUGAAAUGCGUAGAUAUUAGGAGGAACACCAGUGGCGAAGGCGGCUUACUGGACUGUAACUGACGUUGAGGCUCGAAAGCGUGGGGAGCAAACAGGAUUAGAUACCCCGGUA
rnacentral:rRNA from 1 species